GAUGAAGAACGUAGCGAAAUGCGAUAAGUAAUGUGAAUUGCAGAAUUCAGUGAAUCAUCGAAUCUUUGAACGCACAUUGCGCCCGUCAGUAUUCUGGCGGGCAUGCCUGUUCGAGCGUCAUUACGCCCCUCAAGUCCCCUGUGGACUUGGUGUUGGGGAUCGGCGAGGCUGGUUUUCCAGCACAGCCGUCCCUUAAAUUAAUUGGCGGUCUCGCCGUGGCCCUCCUCUGCGCAGUAGUAAAACACUCGCAACAGGAGCCCGGCGCGGUCCACUGCCGUAAAACCCCCCACCUUUUUAUAGUUGACCUCGAAUCAGGUAGGACUACCCGCUGAACUUAAGCAUAUCAAUAAGCGGAGGA
rnacentral:misc_RNA from 1 species